UCUACGUUUCUUCUUACUGUUUUUCCCUACCUCUUUCGUUUUCCUUUUCUUUUUUCCUCUACUAUUUUUCCCUAACCCUCAUCUUCUUCUUUUUAUCUCCCAAGCCAGCCUUGUUCUUUGUGCGCCAUGGCCAAGCCUCUCUUUCUUCCAAUCACGCCCAUUCUUCUCCAUGCUUGUCUUUGUCAAUCUCAUGGACUUAGAUUUGUGUAUAUGUACCAGCAAUACAUAAGAAGAAGACGUAGAAAACGGCACCAUUGUGGCUUUGCUGGCGGCAUUCAAGCACUUCAGGCACAUGUUGCUGAACUGCUUAUAUUGCCAAAGUGGAAUUUGAAACGGAAGGAUUUCGAAAGACAGAUGUGUUUGAUUUUGGUAUUGGCCCCUAUGAUGAGAAUGACACAUAUGGGUUUGAUGAGAACAUUCCGUACAGUAUAACUAGUAAUGAUGUUAGUAGGGAAAACCUUCGUUGGGGUCGAGAUGAUGUGAAGGGAAUGACAAUUGAUGUCUCUAUCAUUAGUGAAAGAGAUCCUCAUGAAAUGGACAACUUAGAUGAUUGUGAGUUCAUUGAUGAUGAGUCCAACGAUGAAGAUGACAACGAAAUCGAGUACAGCGAUGAUGAGUAGUGUAAUAGGGUGUUGGACGCAAGUAUUGGGAGGAGGAAAUGACAAUUGCUGCUUGUUUAUGUUGGCGAAGGAUCGUCACAUUUCCGACAAAGGGUGGAGGCACAAGAUGAGGAAGCUCAUAUUUCUGAGGAGACAUGAUUUUUCUUUUCUUUUACUUUUACUUUUCUAGGCAGACGAUGCUUUUAAUAGUUCAGUGUAGUGUAAAAAUAUUUUACAAUGGUUGAAU